AUUGGGAUCACGGACGGUGGCUGAGCAUUGGGAUCACGGACGGUGGCUGAGCAUUGGGAUCACGGACGGUGGCUGAGCAUUGGGAUCACGGACGGUGGCUGAGCAUUGGGAUCACUGCAGAGCAGUGAAAUCACGGUAGGGCAGUGAAAUCACGGCAGAGCAGUGAAAUCACGGUAGAGCAGUGAAAUCACGGCAGAGCAGUGAAAUCACGGCGGAGCAUUCCUCAGCUGCUUCCC
rnacentral:lncRNA from 1 species